rfam:Gossypium raimondii Chr11_contig_1125, whole genome shotgun sequence.
UAUUUAAAAAAUAAUCUAUUUGUACAAUUAAAAAUUGGCGUGGUUGAUGAAAUAACAAGACAAUAAAAUGUGGCAUGUGUACCUCAUGCUGACAUAUAUGGACCAAUUUUUAACAACAGAAAUGGAUGAAAUUUUUAACU